rnacentral:rRNA from 1 species
GACGAACGCUGGCGGCGUGCUUAACACAUGCAAGUCGAACGAGGUCCAUCUAGUCGCAAGACUGGUGAAGGCCGAGUGGCGAACGGGUGCGUAACACGUGAGAAACCUGUCCCGGUCUCUGGAAUAACAGUCGGAAACGACUGCUAAUACCGGAUGCCGUCGGAGCGUCGCAUGGCGCGCUGACGAAAGGGCUACCGGAUCGGGAGGGUCUCGCGGCCUAUCAGCUUGUUGGUGAGGUAACGGCACACCAAGGCAUCGACGGGUAGCUGGUCUGAGAGGAUGAUCAGCCACACUGGGACUGAGACACGGCCCAGACUCCUACGGGAGGCAGCAGUGGGGAAUCUUGCACAAUGGGCGAAAGCCUGAUGCAGCAACGCCGCGUGCGGGAUGAAGGCCCUAGGGUUGUAAACCGCUUUCAGCAGGGAAGAAAAUGACGGUACCUGUAGAAGAAGGUGCGGCCAACUACGUGCCAGCAGCCGCGGUGAUACGUAGGCACCAAGCGUUGUCCGGAUUUAUUGGGCGUAAAGAGCUCGUAGGCGGUUCGGUAAGUCGGGUGUGAAAACUCUGGGCUCAACCCAGAGAGGCCACCCGAUACUGCCGUGACUGGAGUGCGGUAGGGGAGUGGGGAAUUCCUGGUGUAGCGGUGAAAUGCGCAGAUAUCAGGAGGAACACCAGUGGCGAAGGCGCCACUCUGGGCCGUAACUGACGCUGAGGAGCGAAAGCGUGGGUAGCAAACAGGAUUAGAUACCCUGGUAGUCCACGCCGUAAACGUUGGGCACUAGGUGUGGGUCUCAACCAACGAGAUCCGCGCCGUCGCUAACGCAUUAAGUGCCC